GUCUACGGCCAUGCCACUCUGAACAAGCCCAAUCCUCGGGCCUGGUUAGUACUUGGAUAGGAGACCACCUAGGAAGACCAGGUGCUGUAGGCG
rfam:Pteropus alecto contig98579, whole genome shotgun sequence.